rnacentral:rRNA from 1 species
UGGGGAAUUUUGCGCAAUGGGGGAAACCCUGACGCAGCAACGCCGCGUGCGGGAUGACGGCCUUCGGGUUGUAAACCGCUUUCAGCAGGGAAGAUUAUGACGGUACCUGCAGAAGAAGCCCCGGCUAACUACGUGCCAGCAGCCGCGGUAAUACGUAGGGGGCAAGCGUUAUCCGGAUUCAUUGGGCGUAAAGAGCGCGUAGGCGGAUGUUUAAGCAGAAUCUCUAAUCUGAGGGCUCAACCCCCAGCCGGAUUCUGAACUGGAUGUCUCGAGUUUGGUUGAGGAAGAUGGAGUUCCCGGUGUAGCGGUGGAAUGCGCAGAUAUCGGGAAGAACACCGAUGGCGAAGGCAGUCUUCUGGGCCAUAACUGACGCUGAGGCGCGAAAGCUAGGGGAGCAAACA